rnacentral:rRNA from 1 species
UAGUCAUAUGCUUGUCUCAAAGAUUAAGCCAUGCAUGUCUAAGUACGGCUCUAGUACGGUGAAACUGCGAAUGGCUCAUUAAAUCAGUUUUGGUUCAUUUGAUCGUAAAUUUUUACAUGGAUAACUGUUGUAAUUCAAGAGCUAAUACACGCUAAAAGCGUGGGUCUUUGAUUCACGUGCUUUUAUCAGAUCAAAACCAAUCGUCUUCGGGCGUUCGUUGUGGCGAGUCUGGAUAAUUUUAGCUGAUCGCAUGGUCUUGAACCGGCGAUGGAUCAUUCAAGUGUCUGACCUAUCAACUGUCGAUGGUAGCGUAUUGGUCUACCAUGGUUGUAACGGGUAACGGAGAAUUAGGGUUUGGUUCCGGAGAGGGAGCCUGAGAAACGGCUACCACAUCCAAGGAAGGCAGCAGGCGCGCAAAUUACCCAUUCCCGACACGGGGAGGUAGUGACGAAAAAUAACAAUUCAAGACUCGAAACGAGGCCUUGAAGUUGGAAUGAGUACACUUUAAAAUUUUUAACGAGUAUCUAUUGGAGGGCAAGUCUGGUGCCAGCAGCCGCGGUAAUUCCAGCUCCAAUAGCGUAUACUAAAGUUGUUGCGGUUAAAAAGCUCGUAGUUGAAUCUAGGAGUGUGAGCGCGCGGUCACUCGAAAGAGCGUACUGUGCGGCGCACUCUUCUCUGCGGUUGCGCGUGUAUGUGCUCUUAACUGAGUGCAUCACUCGACUGCAAAAUUUACCUUGAAAAAAUUAGAGUGUUCAAAGCAGGCCUGUUUUGCCUGUAUAUUCGUGCAUGGAAUAAUAAAAUAUGAAUUCGGUUCUAUUUUAUUGGUUUUCGGAACUCGAGUUAAUGAUUAAGAGGGACAGACGGGGGCAUCCGUACUCUGCCGUUAGAGGUGAAAUUCUUGGAUCGGCGGAAGACGCGCAACUGCGAAAGCAUUUGCCAAGAAUGUUUUCUUUAAUCAAGAACGAUAGUCGGAGGUUCGAAGACGAUCAGAUACCGUCCUAGUUUCGACUGUAAACUAUGCCAGCUAACGAUCAGGCAGCGUUCUCUACGACUUGUCUGGCAGUUUCCGGGAAACCAAAGCUUUUGGGUUCCGGGGGAAGUAUGGUUGCAAAGCUGAAACUUAAAGGAAUUGACGGAAGGGCACCACCAGGAGUGGAGCCUGCGGCUUAAUUUGACUCAACACGGGGAAACUCACCCGGCCCGGACACAGUGAGGAUUGACAGAUUGAGAGUUCUUUCUUGAUUCUGUGGGUGGUGGUGCAUGGCCGUUCUUAGUUGGUGGAGCGAUUUGUCUGGUUAAUUCCGAUAACGAACGAGACUCUGGCAUGUUAAAUAGUCGCGGGAGUCAUUAUGACUCGCUUUGAUGACUUCUUAGAGGGACAAGUGAUUCUAAUCACACGAGAUUGAGCAAUAACAGGUCUGUGAUGCCCUUAGAUGUUCGGGGCCGCACGCGCGCUACAAUGAGUCGAUCAACGAGCGUAUAUUUAUAUCCAGGUGCGAAAGCUCGAGGUAAUCCGUUGAACCCGACUCGUGCUAGGGAUAGGGAAUUGUAAUUGUUUCCCUUGAACGAGGAAUUCCCAGUAAGCGCAAGUCAUCAGCUUGCGUUGAUUACGCCCCUGCCCUUUGUACACACCGCCCGUCGCUACUACCGAUUGAAUGGUUCAGUGAGCAAAUCAGACUGAAAACUUGGCAACUGGCAACAGUUGACGUGAAUUUUAGAAAGACGUGCAAACUUGGUCAUUUAGAGGAAGUAAAAGUCGUAACAAGGUUUCCGUAG